GAUGAAGAACGUAGCGAAAUGCGAUAAGUAAUGUGAAUUGCAGAAUUCAGUGAAUCAUCGAAUCUUUGAACGCACCUUGCACCCUUUGGCAUUCUGAAGGGUAUGCUCGUUUGAGUGUCAUUGUACUCUCACACUCCCGAUCUUUGCAUUGGGAGCAGUGGACUUGGGUUUGCUGCUUCACCGUCGCUUACCUCAAAUAGGUUAGUGCAACUCUUGGUUGGACAUAGUACGGCGUGAUAAGUGUUCUUCGCCGGUGCCUCGCAAAGAGGGUGGCCGAUCGGGAUGUUGUGCUCCAAACCGUCUUCGGACAAUCUCUGACGACUUGACCUCAAAUCGAGUAAGACUACCCGCUGAACUUAAGCAUAUCAAAAGCGGAGGA
rnacentral:misc_RNA from 1 species